rnacentral:lncRNA from 1 species
GUCCUUGCGCUUGCGUAUUGCGGCUUCUGCCUGUCGCCUCGGCCCGGAUCGGGAAGUGACAAGCGGGAGUCGGGUUUCCCCGCCUUCGCCGCUACCACCGCUGAAUCCGGACCCCUUACCCAGGCCCGAGCCUAGCCGCCAUGACUAACGGUGAGGGUCGGUGCCCCGAGCGGAGGGUGGUAGUAAAGGACGCGGGGGAAACUGGCGGGCGGGGCCGGGACUGACGUGGCCGUUCUCCCCGCCCCCUCCCAGCCCUUCCCCUCUCCGCUUCUCGAAGCCCUUAACUCCUUUCUCGUGUACUUCUCUGCAGGUUCCUUCUUCCGGUGCUCAUCUAGGUCUCUCAGUCCCUCUCCUGUCCACAUCUCGAGCCUCAGGUCUCUACCCCUCUUUUCCUUUCCAAGAAGUUCGUUUUGGCCCGGAGGAGGGCAGUCUCCAGAAAACUAGUGUUCUUUAACCCCAGGGAGGAGAGAAUACUCCUUCCCAGCCCCCUACUUUCUCGUACUUUGGAACUGUAGGCUGGUUAAGAGGAUCAAGAAAUCACCGAGGAUAUCAAACCUCACACUUUGGCGAGUCGGGGGAGGUGAACGUAGACCCUCCCCAAAGUUCUUUUAAAAAAUGCCGGAAAGCCUUCUCUUGCUUAAUUCUAAAGUCCUAACUGGGUCAUCACAUCUGGAAACUCUGGCUGGUGUUGCAAAGGAUAGAUUUAGACACUACCUUUUCUAAAUGAUAUAGUAGUUGUCACCCUGAUCUAAUUUUCCCGGUUUCUUCAAACACUUUAUAGACAUGAUUUCUGAAAUCCAGGGAAAGGCAGGGAGCAGGCCUUCUAUGGUCUUUACAAUCAGCCUUUCAGAAAAGGAAAAGAAAACGUCUUUUAGGCAGUAUAACUUGAAGGGCACAGGAAAGCAUUUCUCAAAAGUACCUUGUCCAUAGGUGUGGCAUUGAAGACUAUUAUUUCACCUCCUUGUGAAAUUUUGGCAGCGUCUGCAAAUAUUUAUGGGAGGAAAAGUAGCUCAUGAAGGUAUCAUUCUUCCUAAAAACUGUGUGUGUAUAAUUUGCUGGACCUAGCUAUGAGAGUGUUUUACUGGAGGAGGAGAGACGCAUAGUGUGGUCCAAAACUGGCAGACAUUAGCUAUACACAAUAUCAGUUUGGAACUUCCCGGAUAGUCAGAGGUCUCAGGACGUUACCCAGAGGAAGAAAUAAUCCGAACCUGGAAAUAAGAGAGCAUUCUGGCACAUAGUAGUUGCUGAAUAAUUUGUGUGUGUGUCUGUGUUCCACUUGUGCAGUCCAGUAUUAUUAUUACUUGCAGUAAGGUAAUUCAUUGUGCUCACCAGUACAAUUUGAAUUUACAUAUAUAAAAUACAGAACUGAGAGCUUAAAGUUUUUUGCUAUGUCAAAUGAUCAGCUUUUUAAAAUACAAGAAUGUGUUGUUAUUCUGGCAGAAAUUUGGUUUGUAAGUAGAGUAUCAUGCAUGAAGUGUAAGCUAAUUAUAAGAAAAUGGUAUUCACAUGAAUUCUAACUCUGAAAAUUUUCAUGAAGCUUUAUUCUUUGCCUCAACAUUAUAUUCUUCACUAACAGAUGUAGAUCAGACAGACUUGGCUAACCAUCGAGUUCUCCUUUAUUACAUGAGUGGUUUAAAACCAGAACAUGUUUAAUUCUCUGUGUUCAGGCUCCAAGGAUUCUUAUUCCUCUCUCAGCCCAUUGCCAACACUGGAAGGCUGAUUCCACAUAAAUCUAUACACCCUACUCAGGAUUCUAGUUUGGGAAAGGUGAGGGGAGGAGGCAGUGAAACUGUUGUAAAGGGGAUGUCUACAAGCAAUUUUGGUGAGCAGUAAGGUAACAUUGUAAGUCUCAGGACCUUGGCUCUCUCUUGUCAAGUGUUGGCACUGCCAUUUGAUACUGUUAUCUUGAUAUUAUAUAACACUCUGUCCUCCUUAGCUGAGACUCACACUUAGCCCUUUCUCAGCUGGUAUUACCUAUUUCAAGUUGGAUCAGCGCUGAAAGUUUGUUUUUUUUUUUUUGUUUAUUACAGUGUACUCCUUGGAUGGGAUUCUGGUGUUUGGUUUGCUCUUUGUUUGCACCUGUGCCUACUUCAAGAAAGUACCUCGUCUCAAAACCUGGCUGCUAUCAGAGAAGAAGGGAGUUUGGGGUGUGUUUUACAAAGGUAAGGUCAUGUCUGGACAAAGGAGGAGAUGGCCAUCUCUGGACAGUGUGGUGUUACGAAUGGGGUGUUAUGAGCUGAGAUUAUAUUUGAUUCCACUUUUAGAAAAAAAUCUUGAGAUGAAGUCUGAGUAAAUUUAGAAAACAUUCUUAUUUCACUAAUGGAGUCUAUGAACUGAGAUGGAGUCUGGUAAAAUUAAGUAAUCAUUUUACAAAAUUGAAAAAAGAGGUAGCCCAGAACAGUGAUGCACACCUGUAAUCCCAGCAAUUUAGGAGGCAGAGGCAGGAGGAUCUCAAGUUCAAGGGCAGCCUCAGCAAGUUAGCAAGGCCCUAAGCAACUCGUGAGACCCUGCCUCAAAAGAAAAAAAAAGGUGGGUGGGGCUGGGGAUGUAGCUCAGUGGUUUAGUGCCCCUGGAUUCAAUCCCCAGUACCAAAAGCAAAGAAAAAAAGAGAUGAAUUGUGAAUUUGCUAUUAUUUAGGCGAUAAGUGUUUAUUUUAGCAUCCAGGAAAGUUCAGUAUUCUCUGUGGAGUAAAAGUGUACAAAUUAAGCUAGUUUUGACUGGGCUGGAGGGGAGGAAUAUUUUACCACUGAAACCUUUCCUGAUUUUCUGGAAACAAUACAGUGUAAGUUUUGAUUUAACUAAUGAAGAUGUAUUUUUACUUUUUAUUUUGGGUAUCUUCAAUUGGAAUCCUACCUACCUAAAUCUUUUUUCAAAAUAAGGUAAAAAAUAGAAAUAAUGUAUUCAUCGAGAACCUAGAGCAUAAAUGUAGCAUUUAAAAACAUUCCCAGGUUCUUGAAAUUCUUAAUAGAUCUCUUUGUUUGUAACUAGAAAUUUUAGAAUGUCACCUGGAAUGUUAGGAUUUUUGUGAACGGCUGGGAGUGAUUUCUUCUUUCUAUUUUUGCCUGCUAGCUGCUGUGAUUGGAACCAGGCUGCAUGCUGCUGUGGCAAUCGCUUGCAUCGUAAUGGCCUUUUAUGUCUUGUUUGUAAAAUGAAUUACAAAAUACCCAACUCAUCAACUGCCAACCAAGGGGACAGGGGUGAAGAACCUGUUGGAGGCCUGGACCCAGUGUAGGAGAGUUCAGCCAAAAACAUCAAUGUCCCCAAGGUGACAUCACAGCAUCUGCCCCUGCCAUAUGUGAGGAAAACUACUUGUGGUCACGGAUGUUAUUUAUGCUUUAGGGGACUCCAGAAAGCCAACUUCCUUUGAUCUGUGUGUAAAUUGGCUCUCAGCAGUGAACAUAUAAUGUCCAGUUUAAUUACACCCAUCAAUGAUAAGAUUAUAUACCUCCUGCUUUUUAAAAACCUGUCACCUGGGCUAGGGUUGAGCUCAGUGGUACAAUAUUUGCUUAGCAUGUGUGAGGCCCUGGAUUCAAUUCUCAGCACUGCAAGAAAACAAAAAUAACACCAACAUGUCACCUGUUUUGUUCUUCAACCCCGCAUCAGGAUCUUUUCAAACUGAGGCUUAUAGGGAAGGACAUAGGCUGUGUUCAGACCUCUUGAAAGGAGAGAUAAUUUUCAAGACUUGACUUUUUUUCACUGUUUAAUAUGGUUUUGGCAAAUUGGGGAGGGAGGGUACCAGGUGGGAAAAAGGAGUUAUGAAAGGCCAGGAAAUUGCUUGGUUUUAGAAAAUUGUCUUUUAUCUACUUACCUGGGAACAUGAGAGAGAGGCAUGGCUCUCAUUGCAAAAAGAGAAUAGAUGAAGCAGCUUGGUGUGUGCUGAGAGCUUGAGUUUUGCCAAGAGAAUCUGAGCUCAUAUAAAAAUCCAGAAAUUAACCAUCUGUGAUGAGACUAAAGAGCAGUGAUUAAGACAAGAAAACACUUCCUGUUCACCUGUAUCCCCAAAAGAAGACUUUACUCAAUCAAAUGGUAUAUGAAAAAUGAAUCAGCUGUUGCUAUUUCCUAAGGCUUUUUUAUAUUUUCUAACUUAGUGCUAAAUACUGUUACUCAGUUUUAAAUGCUACCACUAGGGGAAAAAGAAACGGUUGAAGAAAUAAUUGUUUAAUAUAUUUGCAGUUAGAGGAGAAGAUAUAAAUUAGCAUAUUAAUUCAUAUACUAGUGAAUUCAUCUAGUAUAAGAAUUUAUUGUGAUAUUAUAUGGAAGUGUUCUCAUGUUAUAAAAGAUUUAUACUUAGUCUUUGUGUUAUGGCAAUUUUUAGUUGACUACCUGUUUUCUUGGCCAACUGCAUUUUCUUUAUAUCACAGUCUUUUUCAUUGUUUCUGGAAAUUAUUUACUGGGGAAACAUGAGAAAUUCAAACGAGAAGUUGGUGAUAUUCGUUGGCAUGUUUGGACAGUUCAUAGACUCCAUUAGUGAAAUAAGAAUGUUUUCUAAAGUAAAGGAGAAUAGAACUUUACAAUUCAGAGAAAAGAGCUUUUUCAUUGACUAUGGCAAUUCCUGAGCAAAUCUUUUCAGAUGACAACAUUUUCAGGAAAGACUUUUCUGCUCCCUCCUCAUAUAUGCAGAAUCAGCUGUUGGAUUUGUGAAGCUAAGAACUUCUGUAUAUGAAAAAAAGUCUAAAACUAAAUUAUAGUAAGCAAGCAUAGAUAAAGAUCUUCCAGUUGAAUUGUCCAUUACAGCAAAACUUGACUGUGGACAAAGUUAGCUGUGGAUAUCUCCUGUAUGGCAAUAAAUUAAUUUGUCUUUUGUCUGUUUUCUAUAAAAGAUUAAAAGCUGCUAGGAAGUUUAGGUUCUACUAUAUGCAGUUUCAUGCUUUGAGGGAUCCUACAAGUACAGACAUCAUCAAGUAAACACUACAUGUCUAAUCAUCUCAGAGUUGUGGCUGUUAUCUCUUCAGGGAUUGGUCCACAGGAUAAAUUUCAGUUAUUCAUGUUUCCAAUUGUCAUUUCUGGAAUCUUUCAUAUGAGAAAGGAAUAGAAAAGAAAAGUUACAUCAUAUGGUGUGAAUUUGGAAUCUGUUGGUCAUAGGGAAUGUCUCCCUGGGAACAGGUUCAGCAUGUUUUGCACUUGUUAUUUGGUAGCUUUAAUGACUUGUUUUCUAAUAGGGCUAAUGUCUCUAAGUUUGGUGCUUAGAGCUGCUUCAUAUUUUAAACUAGUUCCAUUCCACAUUGUAGUUCAACCAAUUUUUAUAACUGCCUGGGUGGGUCAUGUUGGCCUAGACUCUUUGAGUGGUGAUAUUUUGAGAUUUUUCAUUCCAGAAUGUACCAAAAAGUGUACAAGGUGAAGAUAAUUUACAGCAAGAAACAAAUACACAGCCUAUUUCAUUUCUUGAUUUUAUAUAAACAGAAAAACAGAAACUUUAACUCAUUACUUUGGUUGAUAUGUCAUACUAUUUUGGCUAAAAAUUAUAAAAAUUGUUCCUCUGGGGAAGUCUUAGGGGUGGGGGCAUGAGGAGAGCAAUAUUGCCUCAAAUUCAACUUGGUAUCACCAUAAACCCUGUGUACCAGGGUAGAAUGAAGUCAGCUCCUUUUUAUAGUUGAAAUACAGUUUUUUUUAUUCAUCAAUAUCUGCACAAAUCCUUGAAAAUAAAAUUUCUUUCCCUACAAUAUUUGUCCAUUUUAUUUGAC